UACGAAGGGGGCUAGCGUUGUUCGGAAUUACUGCGCGUAAAGCGCACGUAGGCGGAUAUUUAAGUCAGGGGCGAAAUCCCGGGGAUCAACCCCGUAACUGCCUUUGAUACUGGGUAUCUGGAGUCCGGAAGAGGUGAGUGGAAUUCCGAGUGUAGAGGUGAAAUUCGUAGAUAUUAGGAGGAGCACCGGUGGCGAAGGCGGCUCACUGGUCCGGUACUGACGCUGAGGUGCGAAAGCGUGGGGAGCAAUCAGG
rnacentral:rRNA from 1 species